CUUAAGUCAGUUUUUUUUAAUGCUGUCAAAAUUUGUAGAAUUGUCUUGUCUUUGAUUAUGGCAUCAUCUCUUUCUAAAAUAUACUUUACAGUUGCUUUUGUGUUCUGUAGACUAUAGGGUCAAAAUCAAGAGUAUUUUGGAAGUUCAAAAGCAUUUAAAAUCUAUUAGGUCAUUAAGUAUGAAAUGUCUGAUUUCAAAUCAAAAGUUUAUUAUAUCUCAAACAAGAAGCAGUACAAUUAAUCAAAGUAUGCGCCUAAGCUAUCGACACAGGUUUGCUAUCUUAAAUGGUAGCUUGCUUAUGCCAGCAGAGAAGAAGCCUAGAGAGCAAGUGACGAUGAAAUUUUUUUUCCCCGAUAUCUUUCACAGAUCUAAUUUAGAUUCUCUUUGCCUUCUCCUUCAUGGAAUAAAGUACUGUGGCAUCCAAUUACCAAUACAUGCAGUAUAAACUUUUUUGCAUAGGUGGAAUUCAUUUAGAUCUCAAGUACUGUCGUUUUAGGGCUAUUUGAACUAUUUGUGUUUUUCGGUAUAAAAUAUUAUUUGGUAAUGUGCAGUUAAAUUCCUUUCAGAAAUGAUUGAAAAUAGUAAAUGAAUUCAUUGGAAUCCUAAGAGUUCUUAGGUUCUCUGAUAAUUUAGUGUCUUUUGUUAGUGAUGUCCAAUACUUAUAAAACUGCUGGGAAAACAUGAAGAAUGGAUGUUACUCUUCUCAGGUAACAGUUUAAAAUAAACUAAAUUUUAAAAUCAAAGGCCUAUUGGACAAAAUAAAUUACAAAAUAGAGAUAAUGGAAUGUAAGAGACAAAUUGCAGGACUCUGGUAAGCUUAGUUUAUUUUGAAGAUCUAUCUAAAUUUUAUUUCGUGUCUCUUAAUCCUAGUGUUUCUCGUGUUAGAAAUUAGAGUUUAAUAAAUUGUGAUGCAUUUUUUACAUGAAAGAUUCUAGUUCCUAAUUUCACUUUUCUGAUCUCAAGAAAAUUAAACAUGAAAAACAGGGUAAAAUUCUUCAACUAUUGCCUCAGGUUCAGCUUUGUCCUAUCAUCCUGAGAAAGGAGAUUUAGACUUGUCUACCUAAAACAUAUUUUUUAGGGCAUGGUACUAUCCCAGAGAAGGUGUUGAGAUACCAUGUCAGAAAUAUAAAACCUAAGCUUGGAACCACAUUUAGAUUUAAAGAACAAAAAGACGUAUUAUUAUUUUACAAUAAGUCUCUCUAUCUGAUAUUCUAAGGAUUUCUUCAAACCACUUAAUAACUUGUCACCAUUAACUUUAAUAACCACUUUAGUCCACACUGUCACAUCCUGCUUUGAGAGGCAAGGAUGCCUCAUAAAUUAGAGGAUGCACAAAGCAGAAUUCUGUGGAAGGUGAUCCUGGCUCCUUUGGCUCUCAUAAUUAUUUUACAGCUUUAAUGGAAAGUCAGGAAACUGAAAUGCUCUCUUAAAUUCCCAAAUCAGUGACCUGUCCAAAUGGGCAUUGUAGCUGAAGUUCCCUACAAAACAGUUCUCGCUAAUGCAAUGUGUUUUAAGACUAAGAUUAGUAUUUAAUCUUUGAAGAUCUGUCUUGUAUGUCUCUCAACUUUGUUAAGAGUUUUUGUUGUUCUUUUUCACAUACAACUUGUAUGAAAUAACCAUUUUUUUCCCACAAUAUGUAGGGUAUCUUAGCUUUACAGAUGUUUAAAGUUGAGGUUUUUAAAAUCCUCCAAUGGUUUUUGUUAAAAGACUGUCUUCCUUAAUAACAUGACAACUUGUUACAGAUCCACACAUUACAAGUAGGACAAUAUAAUAAAAGAUUGAUGUAUAAUUGCUAUACAGUAGUCAGCAAAAGGGAUAAUUUUUGCUUGUGGAACUUCAGAGGUACUCUGAAAGUAAUUUCCUAAAGCUAGUGCAUGUGAAUAUUUUUCCUUGAACUGUGCAGAAUAAUUGGAUUGAGGCACAUAUUUUGGGGAGUAGCAAGUGGAAUGGUGUAAUGACUGCAGGAAAAAUAAUCUUGAAAUAUAGCCAGAAAGUGAAACAAGUUUUCUUCCUCCACUUUACUGUUGGACUAAUUGGAUAAAGAAUUUGCUAUGACAUAUCAUAGAUCUCUUUGUGCCAGGCCAAGAUUGGCCAACUGAGCUCUCAAAGAGUUUAAAUAUAUAUAGAUUGUAUAUGAGUGCUUAUUUUUUCCUCCUUUCAUUUUCUAUCUUAAUACCCUUUUGACUUCUGAAACAAUUUAUUUGUUUUGCUUUAUGACCAGCUUUAAUUUCAAUUAAAGAAUAAUAGCAACUCUAGAGAUUAAUAGGAAAGAGCAUUGAAAUACAUUUUUUUAAUAAAGACACCUAAAACCAUCUACCCAGCUUAGUCUUGAACUGAAUUUCUGUGAAAUAAAUUUAUUGUUUCAAAUGCUAAUUAUGGUAAAACUACUUAAUUCUUUAAAAACUGUGUCUUAAGUUUCAAAAGUUACACCUUGGGAGGAUAUUCCUAAAAAGGCAUUUUGAACAUAGAUGAGAAAGUAUAAAAUAUUUCUCACAGAAUUAUUCAGUAUUAUUCAACAUUUAAUUUCAUGUUUGUUAUUGUACCACAAGGAUAGUGUCAUUGUUGGAUUAAAAUGUUGGAUGUUUUUGUUACUAUACUUAAAACUGUAACCAGUGAAUAACACCUGUAGUAUUUUUUAUUAUAGAUUAUAUUUUAUUUCAAUAAACUUUGAUAUUAGACCAAA